rnacentral:lncRNA from 1 species
AGAAUCCAGGGCAUUAGGGAGCCAGGAGGCACACUGGUACCUUUCCAUAGAUGUCCCAAAAGGGCUUAGAGGCCCAGGACCCCAGGAAUCACCUCACAUGGUGGAUAGUUGAACUCUUCACCAACAACACCCUGCAGUGCCCGGUGGGUCCCACUUGACCCCACCGUGUUCAAGGCUGGGGGCUGGGCAGGUGCAGCCCAGCCCAGCCCAGGCAGAUGUGUGUGAUGUGUUCACCGCGCUGCAGCUGUCCACCCAGCACUUCUGGCCGACUCUCGUGGCAGUGGUCCUGCUGCACCACCGAAGUAGGGGCGUCCCCACCCCCACCCCAGCAGGGGUCAGUCUCCACAUAGAAUUACAGACCCAGGAAGACAUCCUGAAACCUGAGGAGGAAAGUUUGCAGGGGGUGGCUCUUGGAUCCCUCAUCCAGUACCUGAGGCCACCAAGAGAGCCUUGGACCUCUCUGCCUGUCCUGCUGGGAUUCCACAUGCGCACCCGUGCCCAAACGGCUAAGAGAAGCAGCUGGGCCCCCGCAUGCGGCUCUGGAACCGCAAGUGCCCCCUCCCUGAGCACAGCCCCGACCCGGGCCAGGAGCAGCGGCGCCCCCGCGCGUCUACCCGCCCCAGCCCUGCGUCUGCAGCAACAGGAGCGGCACCUACUGUGCUUCUGCGGGGCGGCUCCCGCGUCCAUUGUCUCCGCGUUGACAGCAGCGAGGUGGCCACGAGGGCGCGGACUCGGGUGGUCAGUGGCCUGGCUCUGACUGAGGCUAAGGUUCCGAGGACAUCGCUUCGCCAGGGCUGGCGGCCCGCGGCGGACUGUGCGCACAGCGCGUUCGGCGCUGUGACACUGAGCCCCGUGGAGGCGCCGCGCGAGGAGCGCGCUGUCACUCGUGCCGCCCGCACCACACCCCCUGCCCGCCCCGCGCUGGGAGGGGGCCGGGGGGCCCUCGGCUGCGCUGCGCGUAGAGCGGGGCGCGACGUGGAACCGCGGGCAAGCGCAACGCGCAGAGACUGGGAGCCGAGAGGACAGCGGGACCAGCACCCGCCCCGCGCCCGCCGCAACCAAAGUACUGUUUCUGCAAAGAUGCACCCGCAGCCUCCCCCCUCGCCUCUGCGUGGCCGGAGCCUCGGACCAGGAGGGGGCGGGGCCGAGAGCACUUCCCACAUCUCGAGGCUGCUCCACGCAGCCAAAGCAAAGAGCUGAGCCGGAGGUCAUUGCUCUCCCAGGUGCACCCCCAGGUGCUUGAAGAGGAGGGUCUAGGUCAACUCUCCCCGGGACCCAGAGAUCAGGGAGCACAUGCAUAGCGCUGAAAGUCCCAAGACCAGGGAGAAAGGGUAAUAGCCCAGCCCCAAGAGCUGGAUAGGAGUAUCCCUUAGCUCCCUUCAGGAGAAGUGUUUCUGGGUCAGAGUGGGAUGGGGCUUGGUGCUGCUGUCUUGGAAACCGCCAUUCGGGCCUGGAGAGAGGACCAGGGUAGGAGAUGCAAGUAAAGUCCUGGCCCCUCUCUGACCAGCCCCUGGCUUCCCACAGAGCCCCUUCUUGCUUUAUCAGGUCCCAGAGGGUGUCUACAACAGUAGACCAUCUUGGCACCUCCUUGCCAAGUUAGGCUUCUAAGCAGCCCCUAGCUCUCCCGGCAUCCCACUGUCUGUAGGCAGGCAGGGUUGGAGAGGCAGAGGGGGAAAGGCACACUCCUGUGUCUGUAGAGUCCUCAGCCCCCUCCUGGGUAUGCUUUGCCUCCGGGCUGAGAAGCAAUUUUCUCUUCAGCCCACCUUAACAACUAUGGCCCAGAUAGGGUCCCAUUGCGCCAGCCAGCCACUCCAGCCCCAAACCACUGAGAAUCUAAGCACUUACUCUGUAGUGUGUACAAUACUCUGUACUGUGUGCUUUUACACCAAGUGGGUUCCUGAACCCUAUGUUUUGUGGUCUGACCUGGGGAGUUCAAAAUGGAGUGGGAGAUCUCAGCCAGACCAAGAAGGAGGAAUAAGCAAUGAGGAGACUGGAACCCUGAAUGCUACCCAGCAGAAGGAAGACUGAAUCUGAGAUGAGGCCCCUCUCAGCAUACUGGGAGCAGGUUUCUAAGCCAGGAUGAAGCAUGGUGCCGCAUAUAUGGAAGGGUGUGUCCUUUGAGACCAAUGCCCCCUGCUCUUUUUGUCCCAGGGCAUGUCUUCUCCACUCAGGGACCUUGGUCUAAUGACUUAAGGGUUCGUGUCCCAGCUUCUACAGACCCAUGAGACCUCAGUACCUCCUCUCCAGCCUUAGUUUCCCCUGACACAGACUCACUAGUCUCUACAGAUCCUUGACUCUCCUCAAGUCACCCAUUGAUUCCUUAGCUCUGCCACAGAUCCUGUGACCAAAGCUGACUCAUGAGAGAUGACACAUCCAUCACACUUACGGGGCAGCUGAACUCCAAGGUGCUCUGCUCUCUAGGCUCUCUUGCACACGUGCAUGUGCACACACACACACACACACAUCCACACACCAUGGCUGUUAAGCUCUAUUAGGCAUACCUUCUGGGAUACCUCAUCUGGCUAAGGAUGCCUGUGCUCAGAUUGCCCAGGGUAAGUAGCACCAGGCAUUCCUACCACAGCCACAAACCCUUGACAUCAUCAUCAUCAUCAUCAUCAUCAUCAUCAUCAUCAUCAUCAUGGAAUAGCCGACCAGAGCUAUGUAUGCUCCAAAAGCCAUGGCUUCCUGAGCCAUACUGUGGAGGCAGUUAUCAGAACUCCUUCCCAGGGGCCUGUGGUACUAACUCUGUACUUCUCCGCCUGCCAUAGCCUCACAGUUACACAUAUUCCCUCAGACUUCACCUGGCUUCCUUUUCUGUAAUGCAAGCUCCAGGAACUUCUCUGUAUUCCCACUUUCCAGGCCAGAAGCACAUCUUCCGCUCCCACCUUGACAGCAUGAGCUGUCCCAGGACACCAGGAGAGCAUAAGAGAUUAACAAAGCAUGCAUGAAGAGCUGGACAGAGGGCUCAGUGGGAUAACAUUCAUUGUGCUGCUCUUGAAAAGGACCUGAGUUCCAUUCUCAGACCCACAUCGGACAGCUCUGAAAUGCCUGUACUGAUACCUCCGGGGAAUUGUACAUCUCCUUCUAGCCCCAUGGGCACUUGCACUCACGUGAACACACGCACUACUAAAAAUAAAAUCUUUAAAG